AACUUCCACCUGGCAUACCUCUUCAGUCUUGUGUCAAUGCUUGUAUUGCAUUGAAUGCACGGUGGGUUUCUUGUGUUGCAUGCCUAAUUAAUGGUAUCGCUUGAUGAAUUGGUAUUCAUUUCGUCUUGUGUCGCCUAUGCGAUGUGAGAUGAACCUUGAAGCAGCCUUUUUGAUCCACUCUUUUGAUGCAUACGCAUUGAUUUUGUGGCCCAUUGAGUGUUGCUUGGUCUCAUGGAUAUGGAACCUAGUGUGGGCAUGGAAUCUUACUGGUUCCUUGUUUGCCCAAGUUUAGCUUUUCUAAAACGAUUGUCUAUCAUGUGUUAACGUGGUAGACAGCUUCGAAUAUGAAUGCUACCUGGUUGAUCCUGCCAGUAGUCAUAUGCUUGUCUCAAAGAUUAAGCCAU
rnacentral:misc_RNA from 1 species